AGAGUGAACGCUUUUGGGUGGAGAUACAGCAUGCCAAAGCCCCCGCAGCCCCGGCAGUGAAAGCAAAGCCUUCU
rnacentral:SRP_RNA from 1 species